rnacentral:rRNA from 1 species
AGAGUUUGAUCCUGGCUCAGAACGAACGCUGGCGGCAGGCUUAACACAUGCAAGUCGAACGAUCCCUUCGGGGAUAGUGGCAGACGGGUGAGUAACACGUGGGAACCUACCCAGUUCUUCGGGAUAACACAGGGAAACUUGUGCUAAUACCGGAUACGCCCUUUUGGGGAAAGAUUUAUCGGAAUUGGAUGGGCCCGCGUUGGAUUAGCUAGUUGGUGAGGUAAUGGCUCACCAAGGCGACGAUCCAUAGCUGGUCUGAGAGGAUGAUCAGCCACACUGGGACUGAGACACGGCCCAGACUCCUACGGGAGGCAGCAGUGGGGAAUAUUGGACAAUGGGCGCAAGCCUGAUCCAGCCAUGCCGCGUGAGUGAUGAAGGCCUUAGGGUUGUAAAGCUCUUUCAGUGGGGAAGAUAAUGACGGUACCCACACAAGAAGCCCCGGCUAACUUCGUGCCAGCAGCCGCGGUAAUACGAAGGGGGCUAGCGUUGUUCGGAUUUACUGGGCGUAAAGCGCACGUAGGCGGAUUGGUCAGUUAGGGGUGAAAUCCCGGAGCUCAACUCCGGAACUGCCUUUAAUACUGCCAGUCUAGAGUCCGAGAGAGGUGAGUGGAACUCCUAGUGUAGAGGUGGAAUUCGUAGAUAUUAGGAAGAACACCAGUGGCGAAGGCGGCUCACUGGCUCGGUACUGACGCUGAGGAGCGAAAGCAUGGGUAGCAAACAGGAUUAGAUACCCUGGUAGUCCAUGCCGUAAACGGUGGGCACUAGGUGUGGGGCUCAUUCCACGAGUUCCGCGCCGCAGCUAACGCAUUAAGUGCCCCGCCUGGGGAGUACGGCCGCAAGGCUAAAACUCAAAGGAAUUGACGG